AUAGGUAACUAGCUUUCCGCCCGCGGCUUCGCCCGCGUGGAAUUCGGUUAUAUUGCGGUAUAAAUCACAACUAUAAGAAAACUUCUCAUUCCCACGGAAAAAUCUAAGAAGCGCGAUGUAACGCUGGAUACGAUUAGUUGUUAAACCAAAACUGAAUGGUACACUAUAUUAUACGUUUUCCCUUGUGGAGCAAAAACAUGCAGAUUUUGGGCACUGGAAACCCGGGAACACGCUACAUAGAGCUGACCAUGCGAAAAACAAUGUUUUUCUAAGUGUACUCUAGCAACCCUUAGAGUUUGGCCUUGUGCUUUAUUAAUGGACACACAGCGCCAUCUACAAUCCAUCCAUCAAGCAAACAAUAUUUUUGUUUUCCCUCGGGAAUAUCUAUUUUUUUCGGGAUAAAAAGUACCCUAUUAUUUAAUCCGGACUUCUAACUUUACGUCUGCAAAAUUUCAAAGCAAUCGGUUCAGUAGUUACGGCGUGAAAGCGGAACAAACAAACAAACAAACAAACAAAC